CCCGGCUCUCUGUCCUCGGGACCGCGCCCAGGAGGAGAGGGGCCCAGAGAGAGCACUGUGGGGCACCGCUUGAGUGAGCGGCUUCUGCCAGGUUCGUUGGAGGGACGUGCGCGGCACGUUCCGUGGAAAGAUGAGCACACAGUGCCUGCCAAGCCCUGACCGGGUACAGAGAAGGUUGGUGGGAGGAUUAAGGCACCAGGCGUAGCACACCCCAGUGCUCACGAACCGCGACCUCAGCAUGACAGCAUCGGGCCAGCGAGGCUCCGGAAACCGGAGAAGUCAGUUCUGAAGGGCCCCGGAGAGAGAAGAGAGGGCAAAGAGGCCCAGAAAUGACGCCCCCAGCGUCAGUCCACGGGUCCUGCAGGAGGAGGGGAGAGGGGUACCGAAAGAGGGCAAGAGGCUGCCCAGAGCUUCCCACUGACGUUCCGCCUCCCCAGUGCCAGCCUGUGGUAGGCAGUAGCCCCUGGCCUAACGCUGCCAAUCCGUUAUUUUCACAGACAAGAGUCUAUACGGACGCGAGAAACCUUUGCAUCCACACCUACGUACAUAAAUACCACAGUUCUGCACACACAGAAAAAGAUAAAAGGUGGGAGAAGUAGAGACAAGAGGACAAAGAAGGCAAAGUGGGACUGGAAGGUCCAACCCAGUUGCAUUUCCAAGUCACCCGGUGCUGGUCGCCGGCUGGCACUGUGCUACGCAGCCCGGAAAGGUGGAGGGAAGAGAAGCCUCAGGGUGCCUGGGACAGGCGGCUGGCCCGCUAGAUCGUGUCCAGGCUGAACACACGGUCUGUGCAAAGGCGGCGGGGGAGCGGGGCACCUGGGUGGCUCAGCCGGUUGAGCAUCCAACUUCGGCUCCUGAGUUCAAGCCCCGUAUCCGGCUAGCUGCUGUCAGCCUGGCAGCACAGAGCCUGCUUCGGAUCCUCUGCCCCCCUCUCUCCGCCCCUUCCCCGGCUUGCACUCUCCCAAAAAUAAAUAAAUAUUAAAAAAAAAAAAAAAAAAAAGGAGGCAGGGGAGCACUUCAGAUGGGUUCAGGGAGGAGAGAGACGGGUGUGUGCAGGAGGGGCUGAGGCACACUUACCCAACAGAAUUUAGAGGAGCAGACGGGAGGUAUGAAUUUCUGAGCGGCAGUUAGAGAGCAUACAAGACCACCAUGAAGACACUGGGUACAUCAGGCAGGUAGGAGGUGCGCUGCUCUUGGAUCAUCGGACUUGAAUUAAGACA